rnacentral:piRNA from 1 species
UAAGUAUGUAGUUAUAUACAACAGGUAA